rnacentral:rRNA from 1 species
AUGAACGCUGGCGGCGUGCCUAAUACAUGCAAGUCGAGCGAACGGACGAGAAGCUUGCUUCUCUGAUGUUAGCGGCGGACGGGUGAGUAACACGUGGAUAACCUACCUAUAAGACUGGGAUAACUUCGGGAAACCGGAGCUAAUACCGGAUAAUAUUUUGAACCGCAUGGUUCAAAAGUGAAAGACGGUCUUGCUGUCACUUAUAGAUGGAUCCGCGCUGCAUUAGCUAGUUGGUAAGGUAACGGCUUACCAAGGCAACGAUGCAUAGCCGACCUGAGAGGGUGAUCGGCCACACUGGAACUGAGACACGGUCCAGACUCCUACGGGAGGCAGCAGUAGGGAAUCUUCCGCAAUGGGCGAAAGCCUGACGGAGCAACGCCGCGUGAGUGAUGAAGGUCUGCGGAUCGUAAAACUCUGUUAUUAGGGAAGAACAUAUGUGUAAGUAACUGUGCACAUCUUGACGGUACCUAAUCAGAAAGCCACGGCUAACUACGU